rnacentral:sRNA from 1 species
GAAGACCUAGAAGUGGACGGAGUCACAGA